GAAAGACUUUAAAUUAUCAAUACCAAAUUGCAAUAUUCCAAAAUUUACCAAAGAAGAAACCCACCCCACCAUUAUAAGUUCGUUGACCUCUCUCUCUCCCUGAACCCGGGAACCAUUUAGCUUCUCCCUUGUAAAAUGGCCGUGGACUGGACUCAACUCCCACCUGAAUUAAUCGAAAAUAUCUCGAAAAAAAUCACAAUCUACUCCGAUUAUCUCCAUUUCCAAGCAGUCUGCCACGCAUGGAAAUCUUCGAUCCCCAAGACACCCAACCACCUCCCUCCACAACUCCCAUGGCUCCUGCUUCCUCAAUCCCAAUCAAACCAAUCUUCUUACCGUGCUUUCUUCAAUCUCUCCACCAACAAAUUCCACUCCCUUAACCUCCCAGAAGCCUCUCAUCGUAAGAAACACUGUGGUUCUUCUCAUGGCUGGCUCAUAAUCCUAGACGAUUCUCCUUCAAUUCUUGUCAUAAAUCCCUUAACACGAAGGAAAAUUCAUUUGCCUGCGAUAUCUAGUUUUCCUAAUGUUGUUAGCUUCGAUUACGCCAAUGUGGGGCGAGAGUAUUUGCUUGUUAAUCCGCAGGGAGAGCGUAAUACAGCGAGCUUGAGGCAAAUGAGAGAUGGGUUUAUAAAGAAAGUUGUUUUUUCUUCUGGCCCUUUGGAAAAGAAGGGAGAUUUCUUCGUGGCGAUGGCGAUUCUUUGUUCAACAGGUGAUUUGGCUUACUGUAAAAAUGGAGAUGAAUGUUGGCAUAUAGUGGAGAAUUCGCGUUCUUUUAGUGAAGAUGUUAUUUAUUUUAAUGGGUUAUUUUAUGCUGUCAAUAAGGCUGGCGAAAUUGUUGUGUGUGAUGUUAAUGGCAAUUCACCUAAGGUUUCGUUUAUCGAAACCCCACGGCAAAUUGGUGGUGAUAUGCAGUAUUUGGUUAGUUCGGGAGAUGGGUUGUUAUUAGUUACAAGGUAUUUGGAUCUUGAUGUUGAGUUUGAUAUUUUUAUCUAUAAAACAGCGAGGUUUGAAGUUUUUAAGCUAGACUUGAAUGGACCAAGGUGGGAAAGGGUGACAAGUAUGGGUGAUAUGAUGUUGUUCAUUGGAGAGAAUUCUUCGCUGGCGUUAUCUGCUUCGGGUUUGUCAGGAUGUAUGGGUGACUGUAUUUAUUACACUGAUGAUUACUCUGCAAAUAAUUAUGAUGGUCAUAUUGGAGAACAUGAUUUGGGCAUUUUCAAAUUAUCGGAUGGAAGCAUUGAACCAUUGCCCUGUUAUCCGCGGAAUUCUUAUUCGCGGUUGCAAUGGCCUCCACCACUUUGGAUUUCGCCCAAUCCAUGCUAAUUCUGGAUGCAUGAUUGCCAGAAUUUGUGGAAAUCAGUCCGAUUCUGCAGUUUUUGGAUCAUGGUAUGUUGCUGGAUAGAUGAUAUGUGCCUGGCAGCUGGAUGUGCUAGAGAGUUUGACACCUUACAGUUGCAAACUUAGCAACACAAAACAGCCAAUCUAAAAUUCUUGCAAAUUGGAUCAGGGUCCUGUUACUACCAAAGUUCUUUGGCAGAAGAAGUAAGCUUUCUACGAUCGUCUGAAUGUCUAAAGGUAUUAAGUGUGGGAAGAAAUAAGAUCUUUUAUUCACUCACUUGACGCAAGUGGUGAAUGUGGGAAGGUGGGCCGUGGCAUACCUUUUCUUGCCCACAAGUGAUUUGUUGUUUAUACCCAUUAUAUGUUUUAGCUUAAAUGGUUGCUCAACAUGCUAGCGGAGGCCUUGAUUGUCCUUAAUUGUCGUAUAGUUUCUUUAGCUAUGUAGCUUUUCCUGGGAAAAGAUGCUGAGUUUCUUUUCAUUGGAAUAAGGUGUGUUUUUGUGCAUGUAUGCCUGGAGGUCACAUUGUGGAUCAAACUCAGUUUCUUGAUUUGCGUUCUAUUACCGUACGGAAGAGUUAAGUCUUAUUCCUGAUGAGUGCCUGAAAUCUUCUUCUUCCCUGUAAUAUAUAGAAAUAUCUAACCCAAACCUAGCCUAUUACCUCUUAUUCUAACUCGUCUUUCUUCCUUGCCAUCUGUUUGGUUGCUGGGAGAAGAGAAAGAGGUAUGGGGCGGGGGGCCUAGAUUUUAGGUUUCAUAUCUUUUAUUCUGCCUUUCUCAUCUCAACUAAGCUAAUAGAUUAU